UAAACAUUGAUAGUACAAUACACCUACUAUCCGCCAGGGUACUACGAGCAUCAGCUUAAAACCCAAAGGACUUGGCGGUGCUUUAGAUCCACCUAGAGGAGCCUGUUCUAGAACCGAUAACCCCCGUUCAACCUCACCCUUCCUUGUUUUUCCCGCCUAUAUACCGCCGUCGUCAGCUUACCCUGUGAAGGCCUCAUAGUAAGNAGAAUUGGCACAACCCAAAACGUCAGGUCGAGGUGUAGCGUAUGGAAGGGGAAGAAAUGGGCUACAUUCACUAACACAGUGAAUCACGGACGAUAAACUGAAAUGUAUAUCUAAAGGAGGAUUUAGCAGUAAGCAGGAA
rnacentral:rRNA from 1 species